ACCUGACUGCUAUCGAACGGGACUAAGCCAUGCGAGUUUGCCAAUCAGAGCACGUUGGUUGGCGGCGAACGGCUCAGUAACACGUAGUCAACCUGCCCUCGGGACGAGGAUAAUCUCGGGAAACUGAGGCUAAUACUCGAUAGAUCAAGAUUCCUGGAAUGGGUUUUGGUCUCAAAUGAGGUAACGACAUCUUUGUUACAUUUCGCACGAGGAUGGGACUGCGGCCGAUCAGGCUGUUGGUGGGGUAAAGGCCCACCAAACCAGUAACCGGUACGGGCUUUGAGAGAAGGAGCCCGGAGAUGGACACUGAGACAAGGGUCCAGGUCCUACGGGGCGCAGCAGGCGCGAAACCUUCGCAAUGCGCGUAAGCGCGACGAGGUUAUUCCGAGUGAUUUCCGCUGAGGAAAUCUUUUCUCAGAUCUAAAAAUGGUGCAGAAUAAGGGGUGGGCAAGUCUGGUGUCAGCCGCCGCGGUAAUACCAGCACCCCGAGUGGUCGGGACGAUUAUUGGGCCUAAAGCAUCCGUAGCCGGUUGUGCAAGUCCUCCGUUAAAUCCAGCCGCUCAACGGAUGGGCUGCGGAGGAUACUACAGGACUAGGAGGCGGGAGAGGCAAGCGGUACUUAGUGGGUAGGGGUAAAAUCCUUUGAUCCAUUGAAGACCACCAGUGGCGAAGGCGGCUUGCCAGAACGCGCUCGACGGUGAGGGAUGAAAGCUGGGGGAGCAAACCGGAUUAGAUACCCGGGUAGUCCCAGCUGUAAACGAUGCAGACUCGGUGAUGGGCUAGCCUCGUGUCAGCCCAGUGCCGCAGGGAAGCCGUUAAGUCUGCCGCCUGGGGAGUACGGUCGCAAGACUGAAACUUAAAGGAAUUGGCGGGGGAGCACCACAAGGGGUG
rnacentral:rRNA from 1 species